GACGAACGCUGGCGGCGUGCUUAACACAUGCAAGUCGAACGGGCCCGCUCUCUUUUUUGGGGGUGGGUUGAGUGGCGACCGGGUGAGUAUCACGUGAGUAACCUGCCCCCUGCUCCUGGAUAACUGCUUGAAAGGGCGGCUAAUACGGGGUGUGCCGGCUGGUCCGCAUGGGCCUGGUCGGGAUAGUUUCAUCUUCGGGUGUUUCGGCGGGGGAUGGGCUCGCGGCCUAUCGGCUUGUUGGUGGGGUGAUGGCCCACCAAGGCGGUGACGGGUAGCCGGCCUGAGGGGGUGGGCGGCCGCACGGGGACUGGGACACGGCCCAGACGCCCGCGGGCGGCAGCCGUGGGGGGUAUUGCACAAGGGGCGGAAGCCUGAUGCAGCGACGUCGCGUGAGGGAUGGAGGCCGUCGGGUUGGGAACCUCUUGCGCCGGUGGUGAAGGCCCUGUCCGUUGCGGCGGGGUUGACGGUAGCCGGGUAUGAAGCGCCGGCUAACUACGUG
rnacentral:rRNA from 1 species